UACGUAGGGGGCAAGCGUUGUCCGGAAUCAUUGGGCGUAAAGCGCGUGUAGGCGGCUCGAUAAGUCUGCUGUGAAAGUCCAGGGCUCAACCUUGGGAUGCCGGUGGAUACUGUCGAGCUCGAGUCCGGAAGAGGAGUGUGGAAUUCCUGGUGUAGCGGUGAAAUGCGCAGAUAUCAGGAGGAACACCAAUGGCGAAGGCAGCACUCUGGGACGUGACUGACGCUGAGACGCGAAAGCGUGGGGAGCAAACAGG
rnacentral:rRNA from 1 species